UGAUAAUUAAUUCUCUCUAACUCAGUUGUUGAGAAAUAAUUCUCCUCCCCAUUUAUUAUCUCUAAACAGAAUCUUAUGUAUAUCUAGAUCAAAAUCUCUAAUACCAUAUACACAAUCUUAACAAGUUAACAACAAGAUCAGGUGACACCCAAAUCUUGAGGCAAAGCUUUUGAUGCCUGAAUUGGAGGCAUGAUCCCUGGCCAAAUGCUCUCACUUCUCACUAAGCUUACCC
rnacentral:lncRNA from 1 species